UACGUAGGGGGCAAGCGUUGUCCGGAUUUAUUGGGCGUAAAGAGCUCGUAGGCGGUUGGGCAAGUCACGUGUGAAAUCUCCACGCUCAACGUGGAGGCGCCACGUGAGACUGCCCUGACUCGAGUCCGGUAGGGAGCGUGGAAUUCCCGGUGUAGCGGUGAAAUGCGCAGAGAUCGGGAGGAACACCCGUAGCGAAGGCGGCGCUCUGGGCCGGUACUGACGCUGGAGGAAGCGAAAGCGUUGGGGAGCAAACAGG
rnacentral:rRNA from 1 species